rnacentral:lncRNA from 1 species
AUGUCGUCAAUCUCAGUAUACGGAAAUGGUCUGACCAAGAGGCAUCGAUCUGGAGUGGGUCUUGCAUUGCCGGAUGACAGGAGCCCUUCACCUCCACUCUUCAAUUAUAUCCAUACCAGAACUAAUCAACCCGCCUCUUCAACAUCUCCAUUUCCCAUUCCAUCUCUUUCACCGGGCCCGCCCGAUCCCAUUCCAAUGCCUAGCCCGAAAGCAUGGAAUCACCAUCAUUCUCCAUAUGACCCGAUAGCAACACCAGGAUCCCAACCCAAGUCUUUCCUCUCUCCUGGCAAAGAAAGGAGGGGAGAACCCCGGUAUCUAUCUACUGGUCACCCAAAUGAAAGCUCCAGCCCUCAAAUGCUUCCCAACGAGAGAAGCUAA